GGGAGGAAAGAAUGUUUCCCCUUGAAGAGAGAAAAUAUACUCCUCUCUCACUUAGAACAACAACCCCCCCACACACACACACAUACAGAGAGAGAGAGAGAGAGAGAGAGAGAGAGAGAGAGAGAGAGAGAGAGAGAGGAUAGGGGCAGGCUUAUUAAUGGAGAAAUGUGCAUAAUGUAUAUUCUGGCCAUAAUCUUUUCUCCCUUAGGUUUUUUGUCAAGCUGUGCAAAAGAAAAUCUCUGAAAGAUGGGCUAUGUCCACAGGAGAAUACUUCUAACUGUGAAGAAUCAGAAUCACCACCAACAGUAGUGGCAUGUGUACAGUGAGCUUGAGAGACAAUGUCAAUUCCUGGAAAGUUGGCUAGCUUUGUAAUCUACACAUGUAAGCCUUCAUUGAAGGGAAGCAAACUAUUGUACUUCAUGAAGACCACAGAAAGAAGAGACAUGAAUCCUUCAGGACAUUUGCAGCGUUCAGAUGGGAUUCCCUUUUUCCAUCAAGGGUGGAUUUACUUGCAUAUGAUGCGCCUUGUGGCUUUCUGCAGAUUAUACCUCAUCAUGGUGGCAGUGACUCCUUCUGGCUCCCUAAUUCCGCAGUUUCCACAGGCUAAGGUAGACAAAAUGGCUACUGAGGAAAAGGACUUGGCUUCCACCUGGGUCCUUACAGAAUACUGUUUCACACCUUCAUGGCCAUGCCUAUUACAUUGUUCAUUCCUCGUGUGUUUACAAUCUCCUCAACAUGGUGGGCACCAAAACAAAAUGUUGUAA
ensembl:lncRNA